GCAAACUUGGUCAUUUAGAGGAAGUAAAAGUCGUAACAAGGUCUCCGUUGGUGAACCAGCGGAGGGAUCAUUAAAGAGUUUAUAAAACUCCUUACACCCAUGUGAAUAUACCUUCUGUUGCCUCGGCAGGUCCGGGAACCCCUACCCUGUAAGUCCUACCCUGGACUUACCCUGUAGGGACCUACUUGGUAGGUCUUGGAUAAGCCUGCCGGUGGCCUAUUAAACUCUGUUUAGUAUGUUAUUCUGAACUCAAAAGCAAAAUAAGUUAAAACUUUCAACAACGGAUCUCUUGGUUCUGGCAUCGAUGAAGAACGCAGC
rnacentral:misc_RNA from 1 species